rfam:Rattus norvegicus chromosome 2, whole genome shotgun sequence.
ACAAAGGCUCUUUUCAGAGCCACCUACGUUAUCAAUAAGAGUAGCU